rnacentral:rRNA from 1 species
CGGGGUGAGUAACGCGUGGAUAACCUGCCUCACACAGGGGGAUAACAGUUAGAAAUGACUGCUAAUACCGCAUAAGCGCACAGUCUCGCAUGGGACAGUGUGAAAAACUGAGGUGGUGUGAGAUGGAUCCGCGUCUGAUUAGGCAGUUGGCGGGGUAACGGCCCACCAAACCGACGAUCAGUAGCCGGCCUGAGAGGGUGAAGGCCACAUUGGGACUGAGACACGGCCCAAACUCCUACGGAAGGCAGCAG